ensembl:lncRNA
CGUACGCAUGCGUGAGGGUGAGCUGCUGAGCGUUUGGCGUGGUUAGCCGAGGCGCUGGCGCUAUUGAUCAUCUCUCAGACUGGCAUUUAGCUGCGGCUCUCUGAGGCCGUUGGAGACAGCCGCUGACCUCAGACCGUCAGAGGACACCCUGCGCUCCCUGAUCUCCUAUCCACCAGCUGAGGGGCUGCAGUGGAUGAUGACUGGUUGAAGCAGCCUCGCCUGGCCUGGUCUGACUGGACUCUAGGGCUGGUUGAAGCAGCCUCACCUGUAGCAGUAAUCAGUGAGCACAGGAGCCCACAGAAGUCUCCGAGCAGGAGCAACAGCCAGGUGGAGUACAGCACUGUACUGCUACACCAACGCAGAACGCUUCAUUUGUCUUGUGUGUACAAUACCUCAAUGUAACACUGUCGUUUUUUAUGGGUCGUCUUGAAAAAAAACAUGAGGGGUAACACUGUCG